UUUACCAUUACAAUAGAUUGUAAUCUUUUAAGAUUUAGUGUUUCCUUAAUCUACCAAAACUUAUAAACAAUGCGUUCAGAUUGCAAACCAUAACAAAGUUGAUUUGUAUUGUAAAUAACCCAUUACGGCAGUUGAAAUAAGGUUCAUAGAUGACCAUUAUUAACUGGUUUGAAAAAAGGUACUAAAUCAACAAUUCAAUAAGUUCAAAAACAAGCAACUAACAUCGUUUGUUCUUGUGCGUCAUUAAUACAAUUGAAAUUGCGCGUUUAAAGCAUUAUUAUGAAAACCAAACGUUGUCAUCCUUUGUCGAAUUAAGGAAGACAUUAAUUCUACAAUUCGAUGUUUCAUAUUCGUAAGUCUCUCAUACUGAACAAGUAUAAUUGGGAACUCACUUUCUAUAGUUACAUUUACAGCCAACAGAGUAAUCAUAUCAAGUCCGUAAUCUGAGGAAAAAUAACAAAAUGAUGGAUCAUCAUUAUGGUUUCACACACACAAUGGUGGUUCAUGUGAGAGAAAGAAGUGAUUUGUUGGAGAAAGUUCUUGCUUGUCUUUAUCUACAAAUGAUGUUAAUUUUACAGUUCACAGAACAUUGAGGGAUUGAUUGAACAAAGCUGUAUAUAGAAAAUAUGUCAAAAUAUUAACUUUAUAAAUGAAUAAUAAAUCUUUUGAGAAGACAUAUUAUCA